rnacentral:tRNA from 2 species
GGUUUGUAAGUGUUCCGGGAGCACGCGUUCUUGGUAAGAACGAAGAUCGAGUUCGAUUCUCGAACGAACCUC